rnacentral:rRNA from 1 species
AGACUUUGAUCCUGGCUCAGAUUGAACGCUAGCGGGAUGCUUUACACAUGCAAGUCGAACGGCAGCAUGAGAGAGCUUGCUCUCUUGAUGGCGAGUGGCGGACGGGUGAGUAAUGUAUCGGAACGUGCCCGGUAGUGGGGGAUAACUACGCGAAAGCGUAGCUAAUACCGCAUAUUCUCUACGGAGGAAAGAGGGGGAUCGUAAGACCUCUUGCUACCGGAGCGGCCGAUAUCAGAUUAGCUAGUUGGUGGGGUAACGGCCUACCAAGGCGGUGAUCUGUAGCUGGUUUGAGAGGACGACCAGCCACACUGGGACUGAGACACGGCCCAGACUCCUACGGGAGGCAGCAGUGGGGAAUUUUCGACAAUGGGGGGAACCCUGAUCGAGCCAUCUCGCGUGUGGGACGAAGGCCUUCGGGUUGUAAACCACUUUUCUCAACGAAGAAAAGUCUUAGGCUAAUACCUUAAGAUGCUGACGGUAGUUGAGGAAUAAGCACCGGCUAACUACGUGCCAGCAGCCGCGGUAAUACGUAGGGUGCGAGCGUUAAUCGGAAUUACUGGGCGUAAAGGGUGCGCAGGCGGCUUGGAAAGAACGGUGUGAAAUCCGGGGCUCAACCUCG